GGUAGAGUGCUUGGUUGGUAGAGUGCUUGCCUCGCAUGCAGGAGGCCCUGGGUUCAAUCCCCAGUACCA
rnacentral:tRNA from 1 species